GUGUUGGUGUAUAAAGUAGCCAUUUUGCUGGUAUUGCUGUUGAGCCCAGUGACAGGGUUGAAAAUUAAUAAUAUCAUUGAAAAUGUGAUACAUGAUCUACAGAGUAAAACACAGAGAGACCAGGGAUGUCAACUUAAAGCUACCAGCGCUGUCAUAGAAUGGUGCACAAUGCCAACAGGAUUAAAUAUGACUGAAUUACAAGAUGAUUUCGCAUCAUUUCCUCAAAAUACAAAAUGUGCUCUGAAGAUGGACAACUCUCCAGUUGUAUGUAAAGGUUGUUAUGAAAACAGAUGGUACGAAACAUCUUGUGAUGAUGAUCUAUAUGUUCAUAGACAUAAACGAUUUUUUGACCUUUUCGUGGCUGCUGUGGGUUUUUUUGUCGGUGCUGUCGCUUGUUAUUAUUUAUGUGGCCGUGCAGAAGGUAGGAGAACCGCUGUCCAUAGA